rnacentral:rRNA from 1 species
UAGCGGGGGGAGCAAGCGUUGUUCGGAUUUACGUGGGCGUAAAGGGCGCGUAGGCGGCCACCGCAAGUCGACUGUGAAAACUCUCCGGGCUUAACCCGGGAAAGGUCGCCGAUACUGCGGGGCUAGAGUGCAGAAGGGGCAAGCUGGAAUUCUCGGUGUAGCGGUGAAAAUGCGUAGAUAUCGAGAGGAACACCUGCGGCGAAGGCGGGUAGCUGGGCCGACACUGACGCUGAUGCGCGAAAGCCAGGGGAGGCAAACGGG